AUUGAAUUGAACAUUUUAAAUGAUCGAAUUAAGUUUGGUCACUACCGGAAAUGGUAUAUUUGAAUCAAAUGGCGCCAGGAAGUGUAGGUGGCACUUCCCGGGCACUGACACCAACCGUUUAUAUACUGUCUAUCUAUGCUGCCAACACAGCCAAACUGUUUCAACAAGGACAUCGCCAAAACAAGAAGAAUGUUGAGUAUGUGUUGGCUGCGUGCAGGAUUAAUUCUACAGCAGCCAUGUGUUGUCUUCUUCACAAAAAAGAUCCUAUUUGAACAGCAUACACAAUCAAAUGCUUUAUAGUGGGCAUGGAUGAAGACGCCAUCAACGAGGCCACUGAAGAAACCAGCGUUGGGAUUUAUGUUCUUAAAGAACAUGCUUCAAGUGAUGAACCAGGGGACAUUGGUAUUGUCCUUGAAGGCAUCAAGAUGUUGCAAGAUCUUUAUAAUGUAGCAUUACCUGUUGCUACGCUGUUUGGACUAAUGUACAGUAUGCCCUGAACUUCAGCUACCCUGCUUGCCUUUGAUCCAAAAGAUUUGCAUGGAACUUGAGGAGGGAAACUUACCAACAAAGCACUUGCUCUAAAAAACAGGCUCUUCCAGUGAAAGGGCCAGAGAGACUGCGCCAUCAACCAAACAGCGUAGUUGUCCCUAAAGGCAUCGUUGGUAUGGCUGUACUCUUUGGACUAGUUUUUUUUGUUUGAAUUAACUGGACAGGAUUUACAUGGAGCUGCAUGGAAAUAACCUUUUGCAAACCAAGCAAAAGUUUUCUCUCUAGAAAACAGACUACAUUAAAGACCAACAGGCAUCUUUGGUACUGCUAUACCAGAUGGAAUUUAUUUAUUUUUUUACACAACUAUUUUGAAAACUGAGUGCACAAUUUAAAGGGUAACUUCGGGUUUUUCAACUUGGACCCUAUGUUCCUCUGUUGUUACUGUUGGGAACAACGAUCUUCGACAUUGGUCCAGUAUAAAGCGAGUAGGCCUGUCACGAUAACAAGUUUUGCUGGACGAUAAAUUGUCCCAGAAAUUAUUGUGAUAAACCAUAAUCUUGUCGUCCUGAGACCAUUUUCAUCUAAUAUAAUGAUAAUUGCAUAAUAAUGCAGGUACACUUUUUCAAAGAUCAAUAAACUUUUAUUUCUAAGGAAUUUUUAACACUAGA